UACGUAGGGGGCAAGCGUUGUCCGGAAUCAUUGGGCGUAAAGAGCGCGUAGGCGGUCCGGUGAGUCCGUUGUGAAAGUCCAGGGCUCAACCCUGGAAUGCCGAUGGAUACUGCGGAGCUAGAGUCCGGAAGAGGCGAGUGGAAUUCCUGGUGUAGCGGUGAAAUGCGCAGAUAUCAGGAAGAACACCCGUGGCGAAGGCGGCUCUCUGGGACGGUACUGACGCUGAGACGCGAAAGCGUGGGGAGCGAACAGG
rnacentral:rRNA from 1 species